rnacentral:rRNA from 1 species
UACAGAGGUCCCAAGCGUUGUUCGGAUUCACUGGGCGUAAAGGGUGCGUAGGAGGCUGGGAAAGUCGGAUGUGAAAUCUCACCGCUUAACGGUGAAACUGCAUUCGAUACUACUCGGCUAGAGGAUCGGAGGGGAGAGCAGAAUUCUUGGUGUAGCGGUGAAAUGCGUAGAUAUCGAGAGGAACACCAGUGGCGAAGGCGAGUCUCUGGACGACUCCUGACACUGAGGCACGAAAGCUAGGGGAGCAAACAGG